rnacentral:rRNA from 1 species
CCCUUAGAUGUCCUGGGCCGCACGCGCGCUACACUGACAUGUUCAACAAGCCUCCUAGUUCGACAGGAUUUGGGAAAUCUUCGAACGCAUGUCGUGAUAGGGAUAGAUCAUUGCAAUUAUUGAUCUUGAACGAGGAAUUCCUAGUAAACGCGAGUCAUCAGCUCGCAUUGAUUACGUCCCUGCCCUUUGUACACACCGCCCGUCGCACCUACCGAUUGAAUGUUUCGGUGAAGAUUCCGGAUAGGACUUUUUUGAUUUAUUUCAAUUCUGUCUUAAAAGCUAUCUAAACCUCAACAUUUAGAGGAAGGUGAAGUCGUAACA